rnacentral:rRNA from 1 species
GACGAACCACACAAACGUUAUUCGGAAUUACUGGGCUUAAAGGGUGCGUAGGCGGCGCGGAAAGUUGGGUGUGAAAUCCCUCGGCUCAGCCGAGGAACUGCGCCCAAAACUACCGUGCUUGAGGGAGAUAGAGGUGAGCGGAACUUAGGGUGGAGCGGUGAAAUGCGUUGAUAUCCUAAGGAACACCCGUGGCGAAAGCGGCUCACUGGGUCUCUUCUGACGCUGAGGCACGAAAGCUAGGGUAGCGAACGGG